AGCAGAGUAGCGCAUUGGUAGUGUGCUGGGCCCAUAACCCAGAGGUCCAUGGAUCAUAACCACCCUUUGCUA